rnacentral:lncRNA from 1 species
UCUUUGACUUGCCUCUCCAAUGAUGCAACCACCACCUGAUAGUUGUGUUACUCGAUAUAAUUCUUUGAAAACUCCACCAAUAAUAACAUCUUUGUUUCAACCUCACACUUUUUAAUUUGUUUAUUGGAGGAGUACUAAGCAACAUGUAGGAGUCCUCUUAUAAUGGACAAAAAUAAGAUAUGAAUAAAGUACAAGGACAUUGAACAAUUAGGUCAUCUCUCAUUUUAAUUUUCUUUUUAAAUAUGAAAAUUAAGUUUUGGGGUUGGAGAUGGCAUGAAUAAAAAACGUCGUUAAACUCACUUUUUGAAUAAAAAAUAGUAUUUUGUGUCUCCAAAAUGGAGUGUUGAAGACUUUUGGGUUAGAGAUGCUCUUAGAGUUUUGGGUUAGGGUUUGAAUUAGGCUCUCUCGCUCCUGUGUGUUUGAGUGAGUGCGUGUGCACGUUGAUGAGGGUUAUAAGGUGAUGGUGUGUGCGCGUUGAUGAGAAUGAUGGUGGUGGAAGGUGGAAGGUGGUUUUUGAUACUUCCAUGGUGAUUUGGGUGGGCGUGGUGGUUAUUUGGGUUUAGGUGCUGGGUCUUAGGUGGUCGUGAGUCAUGGGUCUUAGGUGGGUAUUGGGUUUUAGGGUGGGUUUAGAUUUUUCAGUUUUAUAGUUUUAUAGGUUCGGAUUUUUGAGUCAAUUAUGCCAUGUGUUCCACGUGGCCCCACGUGUAAUAUAUGUCCAACAAUUGGACGAACAUUAACGAUUGAAGUUUAUUGCUAACACCUAUAAUUAAAGGUGCAAUGUGUGAGAAUUGAUCAAUAAUUCGUGGAUGCAAAGUGUAGUUAACCCUAAACAGAAUUGAAUAAUUGAUUUAACGUGGAGCCACUGUACCCAAACUAAAAAAUACCCAAGAUCCAAGAUCCAAACCACCUAAUCCUUACCUUUUCCCCAAUCCAAGGGAAAACAACCGCUUGAGCUAAUUUAUUUAUCUUCAAUUCACAAAUAAAAUUUUUCUAAUUCUGAUUCUUUGCAAUUUUUUUAAGAAGAAUCUUAACCUAAAAUAUGGUAAAUAGAAAGUUUCACCAAAUGUUAAAGUUGUUAUAAAUAUAUUGUUGUAAAUAAAUAAAUUUACAAUUCAUUCUCAAUUCCCAAAAAAUCAUUGUAAGAGGUUGUCAAUAUUGUCCCUAAAGUAAUCUAAUUUGAUCCAAUGUUGAAAGACCAUCUAAAUGUAAUGUCUUAAGACUCGACUCCAUUGAUGUGAAAUAUUUUUCCACAAGGAUGGCUAAUAUNNNNNNNNNNNNNNNNNNNNNNNNNNNNNNNNNNNNNNNNNNNNNNNNNNNNNNNNNNNNNNNNNNNNNNNNNNNNNNNNNNNNNNNNNNNNNNNNNNNNUUUAAUCUAUGUACUAGUGUUAUAUAAGUGUUGGGAUUAAAUCCAUUAUUUAUUCCCUAACUGCGUAUUCAGAUUGAUACCUAGCCCAAUUAUAGAUUUUGCACACCCCCAAGCAAUCCAAAUGCCACAGUUAACUCAGCCUUUAUCCACAUUAAGCACCAGCUACUAUGAAAAACUACCCUUACUGCAAAUAACAACAUAAAGAACCCAAUUAAUAAUUUAUAUCUUAGAAUGUUAGAACAACGAUACAAAAGAAGAAUAGGGGAACAAGCAACUCAUAUCUUUUCUCUUAUUUCUUCCUCUCUCCAGAAGAGGGAAGAGAGACGCCCACCCCCACCCCCCCCCACCCAAAAAAAAAACCAAAACGGAUGCCUCUCCCCAAAAAAACUAAUAGAUUCAAAUUACAAAUGACCAAUUGAAAAUCUGGUCAUCUCUCAUUUUCAUUUACGAUCAAAUCAUAUAAUUAAUUCUUUUUUUUUUUUCCUUUUGGGGGUAUGGGUCCCAAUUGUGAUUACUAAGCUAGUCUUACACAAUAUAACACAGUGAAUAAUUUUUUUUUGUAUAUCGGAUUAAUACUUUUUUGUCCAUUUGAACCGAAAAAAAAUCACUUUCCAUGACAAGUCAAUUCUGAUUCAUGGAGGCCAAUACCUUUUAUCUCCAUUUAACACUGAAAGUUUUGCAAAUUAUCAAAUGGUUCUAUAGACAAAAUACAAGUAAAAUUUAUAGAGUCCACUUCUAUAGCCUCUUAAACCCUACCACCCACGUAAGAGGAUGGGACCUCAAUAGGGCAUCAUUUGUUUGAGAAAUAUUAUUCAUGGUUUUGCGAUCUUAAUCAAGCUUCAAUUAUGCUAUUUUUCAUGUUACAUUUCGCAGUGUAGUGCCGUCUUCCCAACCUGCUUUUAGUUUGGGCGGGGAAUGCUUAUGGAGUUUACAAUUGCUAAAACGCAUCAAUUAAUGACUAAAAACUGGUCGAAGAAUUUGAAAAACCUCGAUAAGAAAGCAUCUGAAUUGGUACACGCAAGAUGAUAUUGAUGCAAAAUUGAGCGAGAAAAGCCCGCUAUAAAAGCAUACCACAACCAAAAUGCCCCCGAAGAAAUGGAAAAAGAUGUUGUGAGAUGAAAACAAAUAUGCUGAUCAUAAAGUCAGAAGUUCGAAUUUUAAAAUAAAUGCCUCAUAGGAUUUAUUUCCCUAAAAACUUUAAUUGUAACGUAAUAACUUGGUGAAGGCUAUAUGUUAACACAAAAUGAUCUGAUAAAGAGGUUGAAGAACUCACUUAAAGAGAUCUAAAAUUUGAAAUUAAGGAGAAAAGGGCUUUCUCACUGAUUCAACACAGCCAACCUACACUGUUGGAAUAGCUUAGUUGACCAGAUUCACUGACAAGCUUCAGGCAGCCUCUAACCGUUGAGAAGGUACUAGAUAAAAUUUCGAUACAAGAACCACAUCUCCGAAAAAGGAUGAAUUUGGGUAAAAUGGGCGGGAAAUAUGCAGCAACUGUUAGGCAGCUCUUGAUAAUCCAGGAAUACACAACCAUAAAUACCCACAUGUUUGAUUUUGUCAUAUGGGUGGACCUUCCUCAAAUCUUGGACGCAUUAAGAAAGGUAACAGAGGAAGUUGGGCACGUUUAUCAUGAAACUAAAAAAUGAAUCACCGCAGGUUUCUUUGUAAUUUUUAGAGAAACUUGACGGCAGAAAUAUUUGUUGCUUUUUACCGAUGUUUUUGGGAGAAAAGUUUGGCUUUAAGUGUUGUAGGGUUCCCAAAUGCCCAUCAAGUAAAGGGUGUGGAAAGUUUUGUUUUGGACAACCACCAGAAAAUUUGAAGUUGUCGGAAUGAUGGAAACUGAUGAUGAAGAUGCAAAGUGGAAGGUUUAAACCUGAAAAAGAGCUUGAAUGUUCAACUACUAAAAGUGGAAUGUUGUCAGAGAACUCAACUAUUAAACAAGCAGGCUAAGAAUAGGUCAAAAAGUGUGGGGCUUGCCGCUUGCACUUAUUGUUGUUGUUUGGCGCUUUAAAGACGAAAACUCAUGCAAUUUUUGGAGGCAGUUCUCAAGUGACUUAAAGUCACCAGCAGAAAGGGCUUCGAUAUAAAGACAUUGAAAAGACGUUUCAAGCCUUCAAAGUUACUGAGUGACUGCUUACCGACAUUGAGAAAACUGUCUUUUGUUUUGAUUGACAGUAUCCAAUCCGGAGAUACAAGAUUGAGAAAUCUGAAUUGAUAUGUUAUGGAAAAAAAGAGCGAGGGCUCUUUUAGGUAAACUUACUUUGGCACCAGCACUUGUUAAGGGAGAUGCAAUUUGGAGAACUUAUAGAUGCAUCUUUGUUGGAAAAGUGUGAUGGAUAUUAUGCUGAUGAUAUUCUGCAAUGACUGUGGUGGAAGAUUGCAUGAUUGAUUCGAGACUUGGUGUUGGCAUGACUUCCCCCAAAAGGAGAGGAGUGCAUACACAUGGUAACAUCUGGAACUUCUACGGUACGAUGCCAGAGGAUGAGGAAUGGGAAAAGGCAACAAGAAUUUCGUUUAUGGAUAACCAAACACUUGAGCAAUUUGUCGGAAUCGCCUACUGCCCAUGCCUCUUGACAUUACUCACUUCUAGGUUGUUUCUAACCUAAAGUUGUUCCAGAAAUCUUUCUUCUUUCUCGACACAGAUGCAGACUCCAUGUCUUGGAUCUAUUCGCACAUUUGUAUCAAUUCUUUGGCCGUGCCGGUUUCGAUAUCUAAAUAGUCCACUCCUCGUGACUACUUCUGAACAUUGCCUCCAAUUUGAAUGUUCUCCCUGUGGAGCUAGAGACCUCAAGUCCUUGAGGUGUUGAAGUCCACAGAGAAUCCCAGUUGAUUGUUCGCGCCGAGUUCAUUUGAUUUUGAACUACCAAUCUUUAAAAGAUUGGAGUAAAGAUGUGAGACAGGAUUCGGAUGCCAUUUUGUUGAAAGUGGCAGGCAAGUUCUUGUUUCCUGGGUUGAUAAGCAAAGACAAUCUCAGAUGAAAAUUUUUAUGUUCCAAACUUUUUUAAAGACUUUGGGUUAAGUGUAAGUGAAGAUAUUGUCCGCCCGUGAAUUAAGCAGCUUUAGUUUCACUUUCUCUUUCUUCUUCAAACUUAUAUUAAGUUUUCGCUUACCGUAAGUAAUCUCCAAUAUUUCCUUCAAAUAGCAGAUCUGGAGGAGAGAACAUAAUGGAAUUCAGGUUUUUGUAUUGUCCAGAGAGGUGGGGAUGGGUUUUUUGAGAGGUAUCCAGAAAAAUUUAAAUUAUAAAGGAGGACUAGGAUAAGAAUCAUAGCAUCUUCUUGCCUUGGCAAUAGAGGAUGUACUCAUGUCGUUCGGGAUUUUUUGAACUAGUAAAGUGGGGCCAUGAUGAACUUACGAACCCUAUGCCGAUUGGGUACACAAAACCUCGGCGAUUAAAGUAUGCGUUGCGAUAAAUGCUUGAAAAUGUUGUGAAUGGAACUGGCUAAAAUGGAUGCUUUCGGAAAUUAGAAAUUUUAAUCAUUGAGUCAUCUGAGGGGACUUUGGAGUGCAUUCUUGAGAUGGAAGGACCAACCACGCACACUGUCACCGUUGCCAACAGCUUUACCAAUCUGAGACGGUUGAGAGUAGAUAAUGCCCAAUGUUAACAUGUCUCUCAAAUAGAUUCGUGAUUCACAACUAUCCAGUGGAAUUUGGCAUCGAUACUGUUUCUGGAGCUGGAGGGGAUGCUUCAGAGGAUGAGAAUGUUGAAUAUGAGGCUCUACCAAAAUUGAAAGAUUGUUGUUGUUUGGAUUUACUGAAUUUUGUUUAGUUUUUUUCAAGGUAUUGCCAUGUGUUGGAAAUCACUGAGCAGUGGCGAUUACCUAUUGGUUCGAAACUGAGGAAGACUCCCCUUGGAUCGUCAACAGCGCAACCAAUUUGUGAGGAGAUUCUAGUAACCAACCAGAAAGUUUUUGGGCUCAACGAGAGUGGGACCACAUGGCACCAAAAUACGCCUUUCAACCUCUGCUAGAGAAUUAUUUAGGAGAGCACACCUCUUUUUUUUCCCACCCACUAAAUUUCCGCUUUCCCAACCAACGCCCUUCUCAGCUUCUCAGUCUCGUGAGAGAGUCUUUGUGUAAGUUUCUAGACUUUGUUAUUGUUUGUGCAUAAGUUUUAUAAUAAGUUGUGUACUUUUGAGCUUUGUAAUUUUAAUAUUAAAAAAUGUUUUUUUUUAUGUCAGCUAAUUUAUUUACCUGUUGAAUUUCCAGUAACAUAAAUAUCUCAAUUUAUUUUGGAGUGAUAUAUUUGUGCAGAGUGAUCAAGUAAAAAACGAAUUCACCUUGCUUUUUUUUUUAUAUUGUUAUGUUUUUUUAUUUGAUGCGAGUGAUUAAUUUCCAAUCAACUGCAACGGUAUUUUUUUGUUGGAGUCUCAGGCUUGACUACCUGUGCCUGUUGGUUGGUUUGGUAUGUAAAAAAUAUUUUAAAAAAAAACAAAACUUUGGAAAAAUGCAAUCGGGGGAUCAGAUUUUCAUUUUUUUUCCUAUUAACGUAAACUGUCUUUGGUUAUAUUUGGGCCAAUGAUUUAUGGAUAAAUUUUGUUUAAGCAUUAAAGAAAAUAUUAAAGUUGAACUAUUGGAUCUACGCUGACGCGUGCAGAUAAGCUAGCGUCCGACUCUGAGAAACUCCCCUUGAUGUCAUAGCGCACCAUUUGAAGCAGAUUCAAUUAGCAACAGAAAUUUUUGGGAUGCACCUAGAGUGGGAAAACAAUGCCACCAAACUACGUGCCUUGAAUCUCGUGACCUAUCGCUUUUGGUGAACGAGAGUGAAAUUCUCGUUGAUGAUAGCCUAAUUAGACUAUGACAUCUUUUUCCAUACCCACUAAAUUAUCUUUUCAACCCCUUCUCAUCGCGUCCGAGAGAGCUGAUUUUAUUUGUUUUUGCAUAAGUUUAUAAUAGGUUGUGUACCUUUGGAGUUUUUGUAUUUUAGUUUAAACUAUUUUUAUUUUUUAUUAUGUCCAACCAAAUUUUAUUUACAUGUUUGAAAUUUCUUAUUCUAAAUAAAUCUCAUCACUUUUAUUUGGAGUGCAUAUGUGUGUCAGAGUGAUCAAGUAAUCAAUAACUAAGAAUUCCACCUUGACUUUUUUUUUUUUUCCUUAUCUAUUAUUGUUAUGAUGUUUUUUUUAUUUUGACACAAAAUGAUUCAAGCUGAACUACUUGUGCAUGGUUGGUUGUUGGUAGGUAAAAAAUUUACAAACUUUCGAAAAAUGUACUUGAGUAUUCAGACUUUCAUUUAUUUUCCUAUUAGUGUGUCUCUUGGUUAUAUUUGGGCAUGGAUUAUGGAGAAAUUUAUUUAAGAAAAAUAAAAUUAACGCAGAAAUAUUUAAAUUUGAACCAUUGUAAUCUAUUAGCUUUUUCUUUCCUUUUUUAUUUUCCUCUCCAAAUCCUAAAAUCCAACAACGGUCCCCCGAAAGUAUAUUUAUGCAAUUCUUUCUUUCCUGAUUUUUGGUUCAAAGAUUUAGUUAGAAAAAAAAUUAAAAGAAAAAAAAAUUUAAAAGAUUUAAACGUCAAAAAAAGGUUAUAUCGCUUUUUAAUUUCUUUUAGUUUCCUGGAGAUUUUCUAUUUUCUUCAUCAUUUUCAAAAAGUGAAUUUUUUUGCUUGAGAAAAUCAUUUAGUCCCGCGGAAUUAGAAAUACAAAAUGUUUUAAAUUCAAAGUGAAUAAUUAGACUAACUUGAGAGAGUGAAUUCCACAUACUAACGUGAAUCGAUUAAUUCAUUUUGAAUUAUAUAAAAAUAUUCGGGUUAAAUUGUGAGACCGUAGCAGUAUUAUGUUUCUUACUAGAUCUAAAUGAUUUUGUUUUUGGUGAUUUGCUCUUAAUAAUUGCAUAAAAUUGGAUUGGGUCCUAAUCUCUCUGUAGAGAGUUUCUGGAUUUAAUAUAUGAAACUUAUUAAAUACCGCUAACAUUAACUAAAGAAAUCUUAACGAUAAGAAAGAGUGUCAACAAAGUUUUUCAAAGUUAAAACAUUUGGGAAUUUUUUUUAAUACUUUCCAUAAAGAAAUACUCUGUUGCCAUAUUUAACAUUUUUUGUGUUUCCUUUUGUUAAAAAGAAAAAAUAAAAACAAUUAGUAAACUCGUUUGGUAACAAAGUGUUUAAAAUAUAUUUUGUAAAUAAAGGAAUGUGUCCGUAGGGGCCACCGAAGGA